GGGCCCGCACAAGCGGUGGAGCAUGUGGUUUAAUUCGAUGAUACGCGAGGAACCUUACCAGGGCUUAAAUGUAGUGGGACAGGUCUAGAGAUAGACCCUUCUUCGGACUCAUUACAAGGUGCUGCAUGGUUGUCGUCAGCUCGUGCCGUGAGGUGUCAGGUUAAGUCCUAUAACGAGCGCAACCCCUAUCGUUAGUUGCCAGCGGGUAAUGCCGGGAACUCUAGCGAAACUGCCGGUGCAAACCGUGAGGAAGGUGGGGAUGACGUCAAAUCAUCACGGCCCUUACGUCCUGGCUACACACGUGCUACAAUGGUCGGUACAGAGGGCUGCAAUACCGUAAGGUGGAGCGAA
rnacentral:rRNA from 1 species